GAUGCCCCUUGAGGCGUUGCGGUGCAGCAGUCGGUGUUGCCAUCGUGUCAGAAGGCGGCAGAGAGCAAAGGCGGUUAUUUGCGCCGAGUCGACAACGGUGACGACUCAGCGUUUUUUCGACCGACUGC